AUGCUUCACCGCCCAACAUUCUAUGCCAUACAGCAUUGCCGGCUUUAUUGUCGUCCUAUAAAAUUUUCCCUUGAGCUUCAGUGGCCUACGACGGUCACACAACACGCCGGAUGCACUCUUCCACUUCAUCCAUCCAGCUUGUAUUCUAUGGGUGAGAUCUCCAUCAAAUUCUCCGUUCUUUUGCAAGAUAGAUCCUAGGUAGCGAAAACGGUCGCUCUUUGGUAUUUCCUGAUCUCCGAUCCUCACCCCUAACUCAUUUUGGCCUCUAUUUGCACUGAACUUGCACUCCAUAUAUUCUGUCUUUGAUCGGCUUAGGCGAGGACCUUUAGAUUCCAACACUUCUCUCCAAAGGUUAAGCUUCGCGUUUACCCCUUCCUGCGUUUCAUCUAUCAACACUAUAUCGUUUGCGAAAAGCAUACACCAAAGAAUAUCAUCUUAAAUAUUAAGUUUGUGAUCUUCGCUAGAUUGCUCCGGUCAUUAGUGUGGAUAAGUAUGUAAAUGGAUAGAGACAAGAAGCAAACACAAGAUGUACGUGGUUCACCCAGAUUGGCUACGUCCACGGAGUAAAGGAGUUCUCAUUAAUUGUGAAGGGUUUACACAGUAUAUAGGUUCAAGCUCUCCUUUAGUGAGUACAAGUGAAUGAUUUAGUACAAAUGACAUUAGGAAAUAUUGUGGAAGAAUGAUCUCGUAAUCACGAAACUUUUAAGUACCGAAGUGUGGUAUCGUCUUCACUUGCCUUAUCUGUCUCAUAGGUAGAUGUGACAUCUUCUUUGGAAGUACUCUUCCUCCCUCCAGGGGUGGUAUCUUUAACUGGUGGAGAUGCACAAGGUAAUGUAUCAAUUUCACUUGACGCUUACUUGUAGUUUCAUGCUUGGUCAAGCGCGAUACAAACCAUGUAGUAGGAGUCCCCCAAGUCGCCGAGCUAGGGGAUCUGCUGAAAGAGGUGACAGACAAGGUAAGUAAUCAGAGCUCCAAGCAAUCAGUCCCAGAUCAGAAGUUUGAUUUCGAGUUCCGGCUGAUUGUUAUCCUUCUCCUUAUCUUGCAGGUAGCAUGAAGGAUAAAGAGAAGAAAAGGAGAAAAGGUGAUAUAAGAUACUUUUGCUUUUGAAGAAGUAACUUUCCACAGGCUUAUUCUUGAACUGGGCUGGAGGGUUUUCUUGUUUCCGCCAGAGUAUAAGGCUGACUGAAGAAUUUGAGGGUCAAAACAAGUCAAUCAAAUCUAGAGUACGUUCGACCCUGCUGAUAUGGGAUACUUUUGCUGUUGACAAAGUAGUGGAUGUAUCGGCAUGUGUUCUGUUGCGCUUGUCUCCACAUGCUUCAUUGUAUCCUUCUCACUUGCCCUAUUUGUUCCUCAGGCAGAUGUGGUAUCUUCUUGGGAAACAUAAGAUGUUGAAGAUGAGUACUCGAGAGCAAUGGGGUUUCAGGCAGUCAGUUCCGGACUGGAAGCUUGAUUCCAAGUGCUGACUGAUUGCUCUCUUUCUCCUUGUCUUGCAGGUAAGAACAAAGCCAAAGGAAAAGACAGGGAAAAAGCAUGAUAUGGGAUACUUUUGCUUUUAACCCUGAUGAUAUGAGAUAUUCUUGCUCUAGUGUAGCUUGUUUGCAGAGGUAUUCUCGGGGGGAAAGAAAGCUGAGUAUUUUGAGAGGCUUCGUUGGGAGUGCCCUCUCAGAUAUGAGGAAGGGUUGAGCAUUUUUGCAGGUCUGCCUGUUCGUUGAGAAUGGAGGUCGACAUAUAUAGGAGUCUCCCUAACAAGGAGUAAUACUAUUCUUUUACCCUGCUUGGUCAUAGCAUGGUAGUGGGAGCUGCCAGCUUCACGUGUUUUAACUCUAUCAGAGCACUUUGAAAAAGUGGUCUGUGGUAUCUGGAAAGUUGAUGUUACGUGUGAAGAUUACAGACAAGCUUUAUCCAAGGAGAUCUGGCUCUCGAAGUUGAGAAAGCGGUGUGAGGAUUAUAGACAAGCUUUAUCUAAGGGGCUCUCGAAGUUGAGGAAGCGGUGCCUCUUCGGUUUUCGAACAAGCAAUCCUGUCGGGGAUCUGUCUCUCGAGAUUCGGAAAACGGUGCCUCUUCGAUUUUUAAGAAAGCAAUCCUGCUAGGAGUCUAGCUCUCGAGAUUCGGAGAGCGGUGUCUCGUCGCUUUUUGAGAAAGUAAUCAUGUUGGGAGUCUGGCUCUCGAGAUUCGGAGGACGGUGCCUCUUCGAUCUUGAAGCAAGCAAUCUUGUUGGGAGUGUUUUCUCGAAUGUGAGUAAAGGUUAGGCCUGUUUGCUAGUCUUCCUUGCCACGGAGCACAGAGGUUGACCCACAGGGACUUUCCAAUUAUCCAGCAAUGGUCAUGUUCCUUUACCCUUGUGGGUCAUAAUAUGGUAGCUAGACCUUCAAAAUUUAUGUGUCUAAACUUUGUUAGUGCUGUUUCUUUGCUAUUCUUUUACCCUUCUUGGUCAUAGCGAUAUAAUGGGAGCUGCAAGCUUCACGUGUUUAAACUUUGUCAGAGAUUUUUGGCAAAGUUAUCUGUGUGUACCCGUGAGCUGAUGUUGCAUGUGGAAAGUGAAUGAUUGAACAGUAACAUUCACGUGCUUUCUACUUCACUAGAAAUCUUCGACAGAAUGCCCGUAAUUUCCGCAAAGUUGAGUGUGCAUGUGACAGGUGCUGACAAGGCUGAAAAAGCAGGUGCCUCUUCGAUUUCUGAGAUCGGCCCUUGUGGUCUCUGAGCAGCCUAACUUUUGAGAAAGCAAGCGCUUCUUCGAUUUCUGCGAUUGACCUUCGUGGUCUUUGAGCAGCCCAGCUUUUGAGAAAGCAAACGCCUCUUCGAUUCCUGAGAUCGACCCUCGUGGUCUCUGAGCAGCCCAGCUUUUGAGAAAGCAAACGCCUUUUCGAUUUCUGAGCAGGCGCCUCUUCGAUUUCUGAAGCUCCAUCGAGUGCGGAUUUUUAUAGAGGCUGUAUUAAGUUCCAAAGCACACUUGAAUCUCCACCAGUAGAAGCUCCCUUCUUGCAUUUCUAAGAUCUUGAUUUGUCCGACCUCUUUUCUCUUCAACACCUUUGAAAAUGUCUGGCCCCUCCGACCGUCGUUUUGACUUGAACCUUGUUGAAGAGGCAGCCACGCCUUCUCCAGACAACAUAUGGCGCCCAUCCUUCUUAUCCCCUAUUGGUCCUCUUACCGUUGGGGAUUCCGUGAUGAAGAAUGAUAUGACCGCUGCGGUGGUGGCCAGGAACCUUCUCACUCCCAAAGAUAACAUACUACUUUCCAAACGGUCUGAUGAGUUGGCUGUUAAGGAUUCUCUGGCUCUCAAUGUUCAGUGUGCAGGUUCUGUGUCUAAUAUGGCCCAACGCCUAUUUGCUCGAACCCGCCAAGUUGAAUCAUUGGCGGCUGAAGUGAUGAGUCUCAAACAGGAGAUUAGAGGGCUCAAGCAUGAGAAUAAACAGUUGCACCGGCUCGCUCAUGACUAUGCUACAAACAUGAAGAGGAAGCUUGACUAGAUGAAGGAAUCUGAUGGUCAGAUUUUACAUGAUCAUCAGAUGUUUGUGGGUUUGUUCCAAAGGCAUUUAUUGCCUUCGUCUUCUGGGGCUGUACCGCGUAAUGAAGCUCCAAAUGAUCAACCUCUGAUGCCUCAUCCUUCUAGGGUGUUGUCCAGUACUGAGGCUCCGAAUGAUCCCCCUCCGGUGCCUUCUCUUUCUGGAGUUCUGCCGACUGCUGAGACUUCUCCUAAGCAACCUUUGUGAAGGCUUCCUCUUGUUUGUUUAUUUUGACUCGUGUAUAUGUACAUAUUUGUAACUUCUUAGAGAUAUCAAUAAAUAAGCUUUGUUUCAUUUCAACGUAUUGUGUUAAAUACACCAAAGCCUUCUUCACUAAGUUCUUUGAAUUUUUCUUUUGUUGAAGCUUGUAUGUUGAAGCUUUGUGAGUGGAGCAUGUAGGUUGAGGUAGUGUUCCUUUAAUUUCCCGAGUGGGGAAAACUUCUCGAUUGGAGACUUGAAAAAUCCAAGUCACUGAGUCGGGUCGGCUAUAUGAAUCUUAGAACGCCAUUGUGCUCGAUCCUGUGUCAUGUCCUCCGUUAGAUCCAAGUACUCUAAGUCUUUUCUUAGAGUCUCUUCCAAAGUUUUCCUAGGUCUUCCUCUACCCCUUCGGCCCUGAACCUCUGUCCCGUAGUCGCAUCUUCUAACCGGAGCGUCAGUAGGCCUUCUUUGUGUUGGAAAUGUGCCCUAAAGCCAAUCAUAUGAUGAUACUUUACGGACAUUUCACAUGUUAAACUAAUCUAGUUUAAUAUAAAGGGCAAAGAUUAUUGUUUGAGCCGUCUCAUAUAAAUGUUAUAUGCUUAAACGAUAAAGUCCAAGGAAUAUGUGAUUGGGAGAAUGCAAUCUAAUGAAGUUAGAUUCAUGAGACCAUUCUUUCGUAGACACAUCCUAAAUGUUCCUGAUCAUAGGAUUGUUAAUUGGGCAUUGACAGUCCGUUAAGAUCGGUACGUACUGUGUCUUCUCUCAGGGAGAGUGACUAGUCUCGAGUCAUUGGUGUGUGUGACAUCAAGUCAAGUACGUAGGUGCUCAAUAGAGAAUGAGUUCACUGAACACGAUCAACGAAGAGUUCUCAUAUUCAUGUCACAUGAGAACUCAUGGUUGGGAUAAUGCAAAGUAGUCCUUUGACCUGAGGCAUCAUCGUUGUCUUGUGGUUAAGUCCUUGAUCUUUGAUUAUGUCAAACGUCAUUCCAUUGGAGUGUCCACGGCAUCGUUGGGGUUAAGCCACUUAGCCAUGGAGGCAAGUGAAUGCGCAACAAGGGAUCUCUAACCUUCAAACCGUUUGAGGGAGAAUACUCUAUGAUAUGAUCAGAAUCUCUGGCCAGAGUAUGAAUGAGAUUUAGGAAUGCGUUCCAAAUCACAUUCAAGGUAAUCAUAUAAGCACACGAAUCACAUUGGAUAGUAGACAUGAAUAAAUAAACUAUCAAACCAAACAAUGUGGUCAAGAGUAUUGUAUUAGAGAAAGACCGUAUUGCAUUUGUAAUCCUAAACUGAAUAGGUUCUCCACCUCUUCUGAUUAGCUUGGGUAACCAUGAUAUGCUGCUAGGUGUCACUCAUGGUUUGUGGAAGCCCUAAACGUGUAUAAUCACUAAAGGGAGAAUUGAAAGUAAGUUUCAAUUCACAAUCGAUGUAAAAUGGUUUUAAUCGCCCACUGCCUCGCUAAAAGGAACCUAAUGGAUCGCACACCGUGUAAGGUGGAGAUUGAAGAAACAAUGGAGAUGAGUAAGAAUGAUUAAAUGGUUUAAUUAUUUAUUUAUGGCAAGGAUUAAUUAAUAUGUUAAUUAAUCAAACGAAUAAGUUCGUUAAAGACCUCGGGAUAGUUUUGGACGUUUAGGCCCAAUGGGCUUCGAACGUCAAGCCCAUUGACUUAAGUUGUAUGACAACUUAAUUCACAAAAGCCCAAAAGCCCAAACAACACCCUAUGGCCGGCCAUUUAGAGGAAGGGUAGUGAACUUGCUUUAAUUACAAGUUUGCCACUCAAAUGAACAAAGGUAUAAAUAUGACUUUAUAGCCUUUUGUUCAUUAGGGUUUGUUUUGGAGAAAAUUGGAGAGAACAUGUCUCUCCAUUUCUCUAAAGAGGCCGGCCCCCUUGGAGGGUGCAUCUAGCAAUCCCACUACUCCAAGGUCACUCAUUUCUUCUCCAAUCUAACCUUGGUGAAGAGACUUAGAGGUUCUCUAUUUUGGGAACUUGGAGAAUCCUAUUCUUCCAUCCAAAUCCAUAGAUUUAAUAUGCAAGGAAUGAAGGCCCUCUCUUUGGGUGAUUAGCCUUUGCUUAUGCAAAGAGGAAUCUACAAAGGUAUAUUUCUCAACUCACUUUGAUUUGAGUUGAGUCUUGGUUCACCAAUCUACUAGGCUUUGAAUUUCAUGGUUAAUGUUUUGUUUUUAAGUGCAUGCAAACAUGAUUCCGCCUUUAAUUGUUAAUUGCAUGCUUAUUGAUGUUGCUUAAAUGAACAUGUUUUCACAAAAUAUUCCUUCACUUUGCACAUUUCCAAACCACCGUAACCGAUUUUCUCUCAGUUUUCCUUCAAUUUCGGCUACUCCUACUUUACCUCAGAUAUCCUCAUUCCUAAUCUUAUCCUUUCUCGUGUGCCCACACAUCCAACGAAGCAUCCUCAUCUCCGCUACACCCAUUUUGUGUACGUGUUGGUGCUUCACCGCCUAACAUUCUGUGCCAUACAGCAUCGCCGGCCUUAUUGCCGUCCUAUAAAAUUUUCCCUUAAGCUUCAAUGGCAUACGACGAUCACACAACACGCCGGAUGCACUCUUCCACUUCAUCCAUCCAGCUUGUAUUCUAUGGUUGAGAUCUCCAUCUAAUUCUCCGUUCUUUUGCAAGAUAGAUCCUAGGUAGCGAAAACGGUCGCUCUUUGGUAUUUCCUGAUCUCCGAUCCUCAUCCCUAACUCAUUUUGGCCUCCAUUUGCACUGAACUUGCACUCCAUAUAUUCUGUCUUUGAUCGGCUUAGGCGAAGACCUUUAGAUUCCAACACUUCUCUCCAAAGGUUAAGCUUCGCAUUUACCCCUUCCUGAGUUUCAUCUAUCAACACAAUAUCGUCUGCGAAAAGCAUACACC
rnacentral:lncRNA from 1 species